UAUAUAUAUAUAUAUAUAGAGUUGAGCUAGAAUACUAUCGGUAGCAAACAUGCUUCGUUACCACCAAUUUGUUUUCGAUGAUGGAGCCUCCAAAUCGACGAUCGGCACCGUUGAACAUGAUCUAUACCACUUGUAGUGUUUAGAAAUCAAAUUUCACACAUUUUCGAUAUUAUUCUCUUAUCCAUCUGAGUGAACACAAAAAUGAACGGCUGAAAAUGAAUAUUCUUUAAAAAAUGAUGAUAGUAGUCUUGUAGACAAAAUCAAGAGUAUAGAUCUUGUUUUAAAUAGUUUCAAGAAUUUUCUAACAAAAAUUCAAUUGAUUUGGAUAUCUUUACGCCGUUAAACGAGAAAACGCCUUUUAUCGACCAUUAAAAUUACAAAUUUUGAAACCCUUUGAUCAUUAG
rnacentral:lncRNA from 1 species